AGAUAUCAUCGUGUUGCGAAAUGUGUCAUGGUCAUCCUGUUGCAUCUACGGCUCGAUGCUUUCACUAACGACAACUUUACCCAUCGAUGCCAGAAAAUGCGCACCUUUUUUCUGAUGAGAUAAAAACUGAUGUUUUAUUACUUGAAUAAGGUCAAUGCGAAAAUUCGUCACCUUUGAAUAAUUAUUUAGCAAGUCAUUGCUGACGGCACGAGGAAGAAAAAAGUAGUUGCACAAGAUUUAUAUGUGAUGAUUAUAUUAAUUCAUGCCGUCGAUUGAAAUCUAUUCUAAAUACAUGAAGCUGAUUCUCCAUGUAAGCUGUUCCUCAGAUCUCUCCAAGCAUGAAUCCUUACAGAUAAGGAAUACAGAUGAAGGCAACGCAGAUGGAGACUUUAUACGAGUAACAAUAAUGAAAAUACCAAGUACAACAAAUGAACCGCGUUGUUCUCCGGU